GGUAGGGUACAGCUCAGUGGUAGAGCGCGUGCUUAGCGUGCACGAGAUCCUGGGUUCAAUCCCCAGCCCCUCCU
rnacentral:tRNA from 1 species